rnacentral:rRNA from 1 species
UUCCGUAGGUGAACCUGCGGAAGGAUCAUUACAGUAGUCGCCCGGGUUGCCGCAAGGCCUCCCGGGUAACCUACCACCCUUUGUUUAUUACACUUUGUUGCUUUGGCAAGCCUGCCCUCGGGCUGCUGGCUCCGGCCGGCGAGCGCUUGCCAGAGGACCUAAACUCUGUUUGUCUAUACUGUCUGAGUACUAUAUAAUAGUUAAAACUUUCAACAACGGAUCUCUUGGUUCUGGCAUCGAUGAAGAACGCAGCGAAAUGCGAUAAGUAAUGUGAAUUGCAGAAUUCAGUGAAUCAUCGAAUCUUUGAACGCACAUUGCGCCCCCUGGUAUUCCGGGGGGCAUGCCUGUCCGAGCGUCAUUACAACCCUCAAGCUCAGCUUGGUGUUGGGCCCCGCCGCCCCGGCGGGCCCUAAAGUCAGUGGCGGUGCCGUCCGGCUCCGAGCGUAGUAAUUCUUCUCGCUCUGGAGGCCCGGUCGUGUGCUCGCCAGCAACCCCCAAUUUUUUUCAGGUUGACCUCGGAUCAGGUAGGGAUACCCGCUGAACUUAAGCAUAUCAAU